CACCGGCGGCUCGAGUGGUGGCCACUUUUAUUGGGUCUAAAGCGUCCGUAGCCGGCUUGGCAAGUCCCCUGGGAAAUCUGGCGGCUUAACCGUCAGGCGUCCAGAGGAUACUGCCAGGCUUGGGACCGGGAGAGGCCGAGGGUACUCCCGGGGUAGGGGUGAAAUCCUGUAAUCCCGGGAGGACCACCGGUGGCGAAGGCGCUCGGCUGGAACGGGUCCGACGGUGAGGGACGAAGGCCAGGGGAGCGAACCGG
rnacentral:rRNA from 1 species